rnacentral:rRNA from 1 species
AUUGAACGCUGGCGGCAGGCUUAACACAUGCAAGUCGAGCGGUAACAGAGAGUAGCUUGCUACUUUGCUGACGAGCGGCGGACGGGUGAGUAACGCGUAGAAAUCUGCCUGGUAGUGGGGGAUAGCCCAGAGAAAUUUGGAUUAAUACCGCAUACGCCCUACGGGGGAAAGCAGGGGACCUUCGGGCCUUGCGCUAUCAGAUGAGUCUGCGUCGGAUUAGCUUGUUGGUGAGGUAAUGGCUCACCAAGGCGACGAUCCGUAGCUGGUCUGAGAGGAUGAUCAGCCACACUGGGACUGAGACACGGCCCAGACUCCUACGGGAGGCAGCAGUGGGGAAUAUUGCACAAUGGGCGAAAGCCUGAUGCAGCCAUGCCGCGUGUGUGAAGAAGGCCUUAGGGUUGUAAAGCACUUUCAGCAGUGAGGAAAGGUUGUAGUUUAAUACGCUAUAGCUGUGACGUUAACUGCAGAAGAAGGACCGGCUAACUCCGUGCCAGCAGCCGCGGUAAUACGGAGGGUCCGAGCGUUAAUCGGAAUUACUGGGCGUAAAGCGCGCGUAGGCGGUUUGUUAAGUCAGAUGUGAAAGCCCCGGGCUCAACCUGGGAACUGCACCUGAUACUGGCAAACUAGAGUACAGAAGAGGGUGGUGGAAUUUCCUGUGUAGCGGUGAAAUGCGUAGAUAUAGGAAGGAACAUCAGUGGCGAAGGCGACCACCUGGUCUGAUACUGAC